rnacentral:sRNA from 1 species
GUUCAAAAUUCCUCUUAGCUCCAGAUAAAAUCAUCAGGAUGACAGGUUUAAAGAGUUUUCACAAGAAUGUUGUAGCGGGCGAAUACCAUUUUGCUAAUGAUGUGUUAAAUUCUCUUUCGAGAUGAGCUCAAUGUUCGAAAAUUUUAUACAAUGGAAAAAUGAAAGUCACAGGAGAUACAUAUACCACACCAACCAUGAUUUGAUGCGUUUGACGAGCUUAAUGAUCGCAGAUUUU